rnacentral:rRNA from 1 species
AUAUUCUUAAAAAUCAAAGAAUUUGGCGGUAUCUUAAUCUUAUUAGAGGAACCUGUUCCAUAAACGAUAUACCACGAAAAAUCUUAUUUAUUCUAAAUAGUUUGUAUNCCGUCAUUAUUAGAUAAUNUUAGGAAAAUUAANUAUUGUAAUUAAUAAAUUUUAAAUAUAUUAGAUCAAGGUGCAGCUUAUGGGUAAGGGAUGAAUGGGUUACAUUAGAUUAAUUUAUACGAAAGCAAAAUUUUUAAUAGUUUGCUAAAGGCGGAUUUAAUUGUAUACUUAAUUUAAUAUGUUAGGUAGAAAUUGGCGCUAAGAUAUGUACAUAUCGCCCGUC